rnacentral:misc_RNA from 1 species
UCCGAGUUGACCCCGGCAGUCUCCCAUGAGUCCCCGGCAUUACCCGCUGGCAACAUGGAACGAGGGUUGCGCUCGUUGCGGGACUUAACCCAACAUCUCACGACACGAGCUGACGACAGCCAUGCAGCACCUGUCUCGGCGUCCCUUGCGGGAACUCCCACUUUCAUGGGAUAGCACCGGAUGUCAAGCCCAGGUAAGGUUUUUCGCGUUGCGUCGAAUUGAACCACAUACUCCACUGCUUGUGCGGGCCCCCGUCAAUUUCUUUGAGUUUUAAUCUUGCGACCGUACUCCUCAGGCGGGAUACUUAAUGCGUUAGCUGCGACACCGAAAGGGUAAGACCUCCCGACGUCUAGUAUCCAUAGUUUACGGCGUGGACUAC